AGAGUUUGAUCCUGGCUCAGAACGAACGCUGGCGGCGUGCCUAACACAUGCAAGUCGAACGCGAAAAGCAGUAAUGCUGAGUAGAGUGGCGCACGGGUGAGUAACACGUAACUGACAUGUCCUAGAGACAAGGAUAACCGUUCGAAAGGAUGGCUAAUACUUGGUAAGCCCACGAGCUUGGGUUUGAGGGAAAAGGGUCGGGACCUUUCGAGGCCGAUCGCUUUAGGAGUGGGUUGCGGCCCAUCAGCUAGUUGGCGGGGUAAAAGCCCACCAAGGCUAAGACGGGUGGCUGGUCUGAGAGGAUGAUCAGCCACACUGGAACUGAGACACGGUCCAGACUCCUACGGGAGGCAGCAGUGGGGAAUCUUGCGCAAUGGGAGAAAUCCUGACGCAGCAACGCCGCGUGGGUGAUGAAGGUCUUCGGAUCGUAAAGCCCUGUCGAAGGGGAAGAUGCUUGUGCAUGUUAACAGUAUGCAUAGGUGACGGUACCCUUAAAGGAAGCACCGGCUAACUCUGUGCCAGCAGCCGCGGUAAUACAGAGGGUGCAAGCGUUGUUCGGAAUUAUUGGGCGUAAAGGGAGUGUAGGCGGUUGCCUAAGUCUUCUGUGAAAUCUACGGGCUUAGCCUGUAACGUGCAGAGGAAACUGGGCGACUUAAGUGUCGGAGAGGAUAGGGGAAUACCCAGUGUAGAGGUGAAAUUCGUAGAGAUUGGGUGGAACACCAGUGGCGAAGGCGCCUGUCUGGCUGACAACUGACGCUGAGACUCGAAAGCAUGGGGAGCAAACAGGAUUAGAUACCCUAGUAGUCC
rnacentral:rRNA from 1 species